CAAAGGAGGAAGCAUGGUAAUAUGCAUAUAAAUUGAAUUGGGGUCUCUAGGCCUGCCCUCUCUGAUGUCAUUCAGCUUUGAUUUGGGGGCAUGGUUCCACAGCAAAACA